rnacentral:rRNA from 1 species
AACGAACGUUAGCGGCGCGCCUAACACAUGCAAGUCGCACGAGAAAGGGCUUCGGCCCCGGUACAGUGGCGCACGGGUGAGUAACACGUAGAUAAUCUUCCCUCGAGUGGUGGAUAACUCUCCGAAAGGAGAGCUAAUACAGCAUGAGACCACGGCUUCGUUGAAGCUGCGGCCAAAGCAGGCCUCUACACGUAAGCUUGCGCUUGAGGACGAGUCUGCGGCCCAUCAGCUAGUUGGUAAGGUAAUGGCCUACCAAGGCUAAGACGGGUAGCUGGUCUGAGAGGAUGAACAGCCACACUGGAACUGAGACACGGUCCAGACUCCUACGGGAGGCAGCAGUGGGGAAUCUUGCGCAAUGGGCGAAAGCCUGACGCAGCGACGCCGCGUGAGCGAUGAAGGCCUUCGGGUUGUAAAGCUCUGUGGGGAGGAAAGAAUAAGGUUUGGCUAAUAUCCAAGCUGAUGACGGUACCUCCUUAGCAAGCACCGGCUAACUCUGUGCCAGCAGCCGCCGUAA